AUUGAACGCUGCCGGCAGGCUUAACACAUGCAAGUCGAACGAGUGGCGGACGGGUGAGUAAUGCUUGGGCAUCUAGCUUAUGGAGGGGGAUAAAUAGGGGAAACCGUAGCUAAUACCGCGUACCAUAGGAUGAGCCCAAGAGGGAUUAGGUAGUUGGUGAGGGAAAGGCUCACCAAGCCGACGAUCUCUAGCUGGUCUGAGAGGAUGACCAGACACACUGGGACUGAGACACGUCCCUGACUCCGACGGUAGGCAGCAGUGGGGAAUAGUGCACAAUGGGCGCAAGCCUGAUGCAGCCAUGCCGCGUAUAUGAAGAAGGCCUUAGGGUUGUAAAGUACUUGCAACGGAGAGGCGUUACCCGCAGAAGAAGCACCGGCUAACUCCGUGCCAGCCGCCGCGGUAAUAC
rnacentral:rRNA from 1 species